rnacentral:rRNA from 1 species
AUUGAACGCUGGCGGCAUGCUUUACACAUGCAAGUCGAACGGCAGCGCGGGCUUCGGCCUGGCGGCGAGUGGCGAACGGGUGAGUAAUGCGUCGGAACGUGCCCAGUCGUGGGGGAUAGCACGGCGAAAGCUGGAUUAAUACCGCAUACGACCUGAGGGUGAAAGUGGGGGACCGAAAGGCCUCGCGCUAUUGGAGCGGCCGAUGUCGGAUUAGCUAGUUGGUGGGGUAAAGGCUUACCAAGGCGACGAUCCGUAGCUGGUCUGAGAGGACGACCAGCCAGACUGGGACUGAGACACGGCCCAGACUCCUACGGGAGGCAGCAGUGGGGAAUUUUGGACAACGGGGGCAACCCUGAUCCAGCCAUGCCGCGUGCGGGAAGAAGGCCUUCGGGUUGUAAACCGCUUUUGUUCGGGAAGAAAUCCUCUGGGCUAAUACCCCGUGGGGAUGACGGUACCGGAAGAAUAAGCACCGGCUAACUACGUG